GACAUUUGGUGCCGAAGACCUGGGUCAGAGGGACUCCUUCAGACCAGUCCCCUGUCUUCACCCUCACUCUGUGAAGAGAUCCACCUACGACCACGGGUCCUCAGACCAACCAGCCCAAGGAACAUCUCACCAACUUCAAAUCGGAUCUUCUUGGCUUAGCAGCUGAAGACUGACACUGCCCGAUUGCCUCAGAAGCCUCCUGGACCUUCAUGGAUGCUCUGGGUAACUCUUACAGUGGAGGACUCAGCCCGCCUGCACUCAGGUGAAAUAAACAGCCUUGUUGCUCACACAAAGCCUGUUGGUGGACUCUCUUCACAUGGACGCGUGUGACAAGAACCAUGUUCAGUGGGCAGGAACUCAGCCAGAUUGGA